rnacentral:rRNA from 1 species
UACGAGCGGCCCAAACGUUAUUCGGAAUUACUGGGCUUAAAGAGUUCGUAGGCGGCGCAGAAAGUAGGGUGUGAAAGCCCUCGGCUCAACCGAGGAAUUGCGCUCUAAACUACUGUGCUCGAGGAAUCUAGAGGUGAGCGGAACUGAUGGUGGAGCGGUGAAAUGCGUUGAUAUCAUCAGGAACACCGGAGGCGAAGGCGGCUCACUGGGGAUUUUCUGACGCUGAGGAACGAAAGCCAGGGGAGCGAACGGG